UAAAGGGCAGAUGGGAGCUGCCUUGAUUCAAAUGGAACAAAACCUGCUUGUCCACCCAGGACUGCCGCAGAUACGCUGGGGUCUGCGCUCUGUGUGCACAAUAGUUGCAUAUUCAGGGAUCGUCCUCCCUCCUGUCUACUGGAUGGAGACAUUCGAGGAUUGGCGGACCCAGCCUUUUGUCUCUGCUGCAAAGCCUUUGCGAGGAAGGGCUCGGGGGGCUUCAGAUGCGCGUGCCACCGUUGUGGCGAUCUGUUCCUUUGUCAUACGCAGGAAGUGUCAUCUUUCAAGCCACUGAAAGCAGCUGCCUCGGUGUGGAAAACCGUUGCUUUGACCUCUGAACAGGUAUUCCCGGUGUCCCUCCACCCUCCCUUGAUCCGCGGGGCUCCAGAGAAACGUGUUUACUGGGUAGUCUCUGCUUGGAGGUUGUGCCAGUAGCUUCUCGUGAGCGCUCCUAUAAAGCCCAAGCAACGCCCUCCUGGAGGCUGCUGCCAACACCAGUGUCCUGCUGGCACUGCCUCCUCUCACCACCUUUCCAAACCAACAAGCUCCCGACAUGUGUGCGCAGUGCAGCACAGGUCACGCGAGCCGUGUCCCUCCCUCCCUCCCUCCCUUUGAUUCCCUCCUUUUCAGGCUGGGGUUGGAUUGCAAAGGCUCGCUGCGGGGCUUCGGUUACUCGGUGUCUGCUGCUCCCUUGCACGUUGCUCCUCUCCAGUGCACGUCCUAGCCUGGCGUCACCCGCCUUUGAGGGUCCGGUUGCUCUGCGGACGUGUUGUCUUCAAACGCCUCUGUCGGCUGAAGGUGUCGAGGGCAGAGCUCUGUCCGCAGCAGGCGUUUUCACCCAUUUCGCUGCAUCCAUUUUGUGCUGCACGGCUCAAAUUCCUGCUCACAAAACUGCCUGCAACGUCCCCCUCGGACGACUAGAAAACCUGAGCACAGCUUGUAGCACCGAGCAUCUCUGAUCUGCGAAGACUCGACGAAAAGCAAGCCUAUUGAAUUUUCCUUUUUGUCCGCGGCUUAAAUAAAUAUGUCACAAAGCU
rnacentral:lncRNA from 1 species